GAUUUAAAGUAUCGAUAUCUUGUCGACUUCAUUUUAUCUUUGUUCUCUCACUAGUUUUCAAAGUGUGCGUCACGUCACGCGGCCAUUGAUUGGCCAUAAGGCACGCCUUCUGGCCAAUCACAGCACUUUUAAGCCGGUUGCACAUGUUGUCGUAGACUCUCAGUCGCUUUGUUUUUACACAGUUGAAUGUGUGUGUGGGAGCUGUGGUGGGGGAAAUGUGGGGACACUGGUUCUCGUUGUAGUUACAGUCUGUCUAUAAAGUCGUGACAUGAAUGUUUGAGGAACUAACAUUAUUCAUGUGUCUGGCAACACCAAAGAUCACCAAACAUAUGUACAUCAGCUGUCAUCGAGAACAAGUUGUGGAACGAUUUUCAUUUUGUGGUUUUUAUUGUUUGACUAAUCUCCUGUAAAUUAUUACUCAGCUACGAAGAAAAGUAUAAACAAUGAGUAAAGUAAAUUGGAGUGCCACGCGGAAAGUGAUUUUUAAAGUUUUCCAGCAAUGUUCCGCGGAGUACCAAGCUGGUCAAAUUUUGUGGGAUUUUGAUGUUUUUUAUGGGCGAACAGCAUCUUUGACGGGAAAAUCAGAGAGUACAGUUAAGCGCAUAGUCAAUGAAGGUUUUCAGAAUAAUGGAAAAUUUAGAACUCCUGGGAAACACAGGCAAGGCCGACCAAAGAAAGAAAUGGAUAAUUUUAAUAUUUGUGCUCUGCGCCAAAAAAUAUAAUUUUUUACACGGUACAAAAAGAGGUCACAAAAUGUUCGCAAUCUCUAAACAUCAAAGGCAUCACAAAAGACAUUUUCAAAGGAAAGCGUUACAUCAUAGUCCAUGCUGGAAGCGAAAAGGGGUUUGUGCCAAACUGCCUCCUCAUAUUCACUGGCAGAAAUAAUUUGGAAGACUACCAUUCAGAAAUGAAUGCGCAUAACUUCACGAAGUGGAUUAAAGAAAAACUAAUACCAAAUCUUCAUGAGCCUUCCAUUAUAUUUAUGGACCUGUACCAAGACAAUUGGUUAUUUGCUUAGGCGAUAAUAACAGCAGCGAAGAUGAUGAUGUGAAUGAUGACAGCGCUGCUUAUGAAAGUGGCAACGAAACUUUUCUUAACAUCGAAAAUUUGGAAUCCGAUGAUGAAAGUGAUUAAUAAAUGUCCUUAUUAACUAUGUAUAA